rnacentral:rRNA from 1 species
CACGGAGGGUGCGAAUAAAUGUUGUCAGUUAAUAGUUAUAUUUGUAUUUUAGAGAUUAAUAGUGAAUUUAUUAGGUGAAAUUUUAAAUUUAAAGUAAUUUCUGUAAAAAUAUAGAAGCUGUGAAAUUUAAACGUUAGACUAGGAUUAGAUACCCUAUUAUUUUAAAUGUAAGAUAUAUGCUUGAGUAGUAAUAGUUAUGGGCUUGAAACUCAAAGAAUUUGGCGGUGUUUUAGUCCUUUCAGAGGAACCUGUCCCGUGAUCGAUAGUCCACGUAAAAUCUUACUUAUUUUUGUUUUCAGCUUGUAUACCGCCGUCGUCAGAAUGUCUUUGGAGAGGUAUAAUUUUCUUAAAUUUUUAUUAGAAAUGAUGUCAGGUCAAGGUGCAGUUUAUGAAUAAGUGGAGAUGGGUUACAAUAAAUUUAUUUAAUAUGGAAAUUGUUUUGAAAUAAAUAAUAGAAAGUGGAUUUGAAGGUAAUUGAGUUAAUUAAGUUAAUUUGAUUUUGGCUCUAAAACAUGCACACAUCGCCCGUCGCUCUCGUUAUUUAAGGCGAG